UGGGGAAUAUUGGACAAUGGGGGGAACCCUGAUCCAGCGACGCCGCGUGAGUGAAGAAGUAUUUCGGUAUGUAAAGCUCUAUCAGCAGGGAAGAAAGAAAUGACGGUACCUGACUAAGAAGCCCCGGCUAACUACGUGCCAGCAGCCGCG
rnacentral:rRNA from 1 species